GGGAAUGUGGCUUAGUGGUAGAGUGCUUGCCUAGCAUGCAUGAAGCCCUGGGUGUUCCUUCCAUUCUCC
rnacentral:tRNA from 1 species